CAGCAGCUCAGGGUGGUGGGGAGGAAUAGCUCAGUGGUUUGAGCAAUGGCCUGCCUAAACCCAGGGGUGUGAGUUCAAUCCUUAAGGGGGGCCAUUUUGGGAUCUGGGG